CCUACGGGAGGCAGCAGUGAGGAAUAUUGCGCAAUGGGGGCAACCCUGACGCAGCGACGCCCGCGUGGAUGAUGAAGGCCUUCGGGUCGUAAAAUCCUGUCAGAUGGGAAGAAAUGCCAGAUGUCUAAUAUAUGUCUGGUUUGACGGUACCAUCAAAGGAAGCACCGGCUAUCCGCGAGGCAGCAGCCGCGGUAAU
rnacentral:rRNA from 1 species